CAGUAGCCUCGGGAAUACAGAGGGUGCGAGCGUUAAUCGGAUUUACUGGGCGUAAAGCGUGCGUAGGCGGCUUCUUAAGUCGGAUGUGAAAUCCCUGAGCUUAACUUAGGAAUUGCAUUCGAUACUGGGAAGCUAGAGUAUGGGAGAGGAUGGUAGAAUUCCAGGUGUAGCGGUGAAAUGCGUAGAGAUCUGGAGGAAUACCGAUGGCGAAGGCAGCCAUCUGGCCUAAUACUGACGCUGAGGUACGAAAGCAUGGGGAGCAAACUGGAUUAGAUACCCGUGUAGUCCCUGUCUCUUAUAA
rnacentral:rRNA from 1 species